CGCGUAGGCGGUUUGUUAAGUCGGAUGUGAAAGCCCCGGGCUCAACCUGGGAAUUGCACCCGAUACUGGCCGACUAGAGUGCAGGAGAGGGAGGUAGAAUUCCACGUGUAGCGGUGAAAUGCGUAGGUAUGUGGAGGAAUACCGGUGGCGAAGGCGGCCUCCUGGCCUGACACUGACGCUGAGGUGCGAAAGCGUGGGGAGCAAACA
rnacentral:rRNA from 1 species